rnacentral:rRNA from 1 species
GCUUAGCCCUAAACACAGAUAUUAUAAUACACCAAUAUCCGCCAGAGAACUACAAGCGAAAAGCUAGAAACUCCAAGGACUUGGCGGUGCUUCAAAUCAACUUAGAGGAGCCUGUCCUAUAAUCGAUACUCCACGUUUCACCUCACCCCCCCUAGCCCCCAGCCUAUAUACCGCCGUCGUCAGCCUACCUUAUGAAGGAAAUAAAGUAAGCAAAACAGUUAAUAACUAAAACGUCAGGUCAAGGUGUAGCACAUGGGCGGGCAGAGAUGGGCUACAUUUUCAUAAACGAACACACGGAUAAUAUAUUGAAACAUAUAUUUGAAGGCGGAUUUAAUAGUAAAAAUAACCAAGAAACCUAUAUUGAAAGCUGCUCUGAAGCGCGC